GCGUUUCCAUGCCCUAACCAAAACUAUUCCUAUCUUUCAACUCAAAUGCUGCUGUGACUGAUUGCUUAACGAUCAUAUUGAAAGCUUUAAUUUCAAAAGCUUUUUAUGGUCUAUUCAACAGUUUCAGCUUAAAGGCGGCUGUGAAUUUAGUGAUCAGAUUGGGGGAUUCAAUUUUGGAAGCUCUUUAUCACCUACUGAAUAGGUUGGGGUU